rnacentral:rRNA from 1 species
CUGGCUCAGAUUGAACGCUGGCGGCAUGCCUUACACAUGCAAGUCGAACGGCAGCACGGGUGCUUGCACCUGGUGGCGAGUGGCGAACGGGUGAGUAAUACAUCGGAACAUGUCCUGUAGUGGGGGAUAGCCCGGCGAAAGCCGGAUUAAUACCGCAUACGAUCUACGGAUGAAAGCGGGGGACCUUCGGGCCUCGCGCUAUAGGGUUGGCCGAUGGCUGAUUAGCUAGUUGGUGGGGUAAAGGCCUACCAAGGCGACGAUCAGUAGCUGGUCUGAGAGGACGACCAGCCACACUGGGACUGAGACACGGCCCAGACUCCUACGGGAGGCAGCAGUGGGGAAUUUUGGACAAUGGGCGAAAGCCUGAUCCAGCAAUGCCGCGUGUGUGAAGAAGGCCUUCGGGUUGUAAAGCACUUUUGUCCGGAAAGAAAUCCUUGAUUCUAAUACAGUCGGGGGAUGACGGUACCGGAAGAAUAAGCACCGGCUAACUACGUGCCAGCAGCCGCGGUAAUACGUAGGGUGCAAGCGUUAAUCGGAAUUACUGGGCGUAAAGCGUGCGCAGGCGGUUUGCUAAGACCGAUGUGAAAUCCCCGGGCUCAACCUGGGAACUGCAUUGGUGACUGGCAAGCUAGAGUAUGGCAGAGGGGGGUAGAAUUCCACGUGUAGCAGUGAAAUGCGUAGAGAUGUGGAGGAAUACCGAUGGCGAAGG